ACAAGAGACAAGCAUCUACUACUGUUGGAUUUGGUUUUAGCAAAAGGAUGAAGAAAAGAAUCCAGCGAUGGAUACUUAGAGGCUGUUAGGGGUAAGGGCAUGCAUACAUCAAGUAAUGUUGCAACUAUGGAUACUUAGCAUUCUCAUGCUGCUACUAAAAGUAAAUCCACACUGCCAUCCACAACUGUUGGUGCAAGAUAGAAGACUUUGGGACUUAAAUCUAGAAAUGUAACAACUAUUAGAAGGUCCAGUAGGUUGUUAGGUGCGUUUAAGAAAGUCUCAUCUAACAAAAAGUCCUUAGAUGUUGAUCUUACUGGUGAUAGGGGUGAAUCAGCAAGGACGUCAAAAAGAGUAAUUGUACCAACAGUGGAGAAGGGAAUCCAGCAAAUGGAAGGAAAGAAGAAACAGAAAAGACUUGUAUGAUGACAUUGAUAGGGAGGGAUGUUAUCCACUUGGUCUACAUUUUGUUAUGAAAGAACUUUUUGUUUGGGUUGUUGGAAAUCUCCUCAAACUUUUGGUUGUAAACAUU